CUCUUUCGCUACGGAGCUCCUAUGCGAAAAUUCACGGCUGCUUUUAUGGUAAGCCUGAUAGGGUUGAUUGCGUUGUCCGUGUCGACCACGGCUGUCGCAUGUGACGGCACUUCCGGUUCCGGCUAUUCGAGCCCAAAGUGACCGCCUCGCCCGAAUGCGCCGAGCGCGCAACAAAAAAGGCCUUCAUCCGACGAUGAAGGCCUUUUACU
rfam:Burkholderia sp. RPE64 DNA, chromosome 1, complete genome.